GUACUGCUGACGAGUCCCAUAAUAGAACGAAACAGCCGUCCAGUGC
rfam:Schistosoma rodhaini strain Burundi genome assembly, scaffold: SROB_scaffold0000579